rnacentral:rRNA from 1 species
CGAACGCUGGCGGCGUGCUUAACACAUGCAAGUCGAACGGAAAGGCCCUGCUUUUGUGGGGUGCUCGAGUGGCGAACGGGUGAGUAACACGUGAGUAACCUGCCCUUGACUUUGGGAUAACUUCAGGAAACUGGGGCUAAUGCCGGAUAGGAGCUCCUGCUGCAUGGUGGGGGUUGGAAAGUUUCGGCGGUUGGGGAUGGACUCGCGGCUUAUCAGCUUGUUGGUGGGGUAGUGGCUUACCAAGGCUUUGACGGGUAGCCGGCCUGAGAGGGUGACCGGCCACAUUGGGACUGAGAUACGGCCCAGACUCCUACGGGAGGCAGCAGUGGGGAAUAUUGCACAAUGGGCGGAAGCCUGAUGCAGCAACGCCGCGUGCGGGAUGACGGCCUUCGGGUUGUAAACCGCUUUCGCCUGUGACGAAGCGUGAGUGACGGUAAUGGGUAAAGAAGCACCGGCUAACUACGUG